UGGGACUCUACAAUGAGUUAUAGCAACACAACACAUAUAUUGAUACAUCAUUAACACACAAAUACAUGUAUUGAUACAUCGUUAACAAGACUUAGCAGUAGUUUGAAAUUGGAUUGCAAAACAUGAGUUAUAUAAUCACGCUUGAUUUACAUGAGAUCACAGUGCAGUAUGCCACUGAAAAUCACAGUGCAGUAUGCUACUAGAGCAAUGUAUGCUACUGAAAAUCACUUUUGGUUAACAUGAAUGCCUAGAGCAUUGUAUACUACUGAAAAAUCACAUUGCAGUACAUAACUCAUAAGGAUUGAUUUACAUGACAUCACUUUUGGUCCUCCUCUGAAUUGUGUGCUACUGAAAAUCACAGUGCAUAUCAUUUUUUUUCUUUAGUGUUUAUUCAUGCUGAAGCUAAAGCCAUGGAAAUUAAAGCACUAGAGCAUUGUAUGCUACUGAAAAUGUCAAAAUCACAAGAAAAAAUUAUGUUUACCCUAUAUAAAUUCAUGGCAGGCUUGAGUGAAACCAAAACAAUGCUCACAAAUCUUUGCAACUCCAACAGGAAAUUUGUGCAAACUGCACAUGUAGAUACAAAGAUACUCCCGAUGGAAACAACAAGACUUGACACACCUAUGCCAUCUCAGGUAUAAAUUUCCUCCUUGAGAUUAUAGAGAUAGAGCUUGCAAAUGAAUAUUUGAGUCAACACUUUG
rnacentral:lncRNA from 1 species